CCAACUGCGGUUUUUCCCUCUUUCCCUCCCUCCGUCGCGACAAUACAGCUUCACGCUCCUUCGAACGUCGGCCACCGCCAUAAUACCGCCUCGCCGCAACGCCGGGGCACUUUUCUCCGGCGAAGCUCACUGCACCAAAUCAGCCGCACAUGCUCGACUCAGUUGGUGUCCAACGAGGUUUUUACCACCGAGGCCCUAUUUUCACCGACUAGGGUUUCGAGCACAGAGAAACCCUACAUCCUUUUCAGGUUAUUUCCUUUGGACACUGAUUGCUAGCUACUUGGUUUGGUUGGAGGCUUGCAGAUAUGCCCCACUUAGCAGAAACAGAUCAUAUCGAGGACCUUGAAUUUACUUGGGGUAAAAAGAGAGGAGUUGGUGGGAAAAAUAAGGAUAUCAGGUUUUAUGAAUCUUUUACUUAUGAUGGUGUUGAGUAUGCUCUUCAUGAUUGUGUAUACAUGUACAAGGAAGGUGAACCAGAACCAUACAUUGGGAAGCUGACAAAGAUAUGGGAAACUCCUGACAAGAAUAAGAAAGUAAAGGUUCAAUGGUUUUUCCACCCUUUAGAAAUCUCGAAUUGGCUUGGAGACACAGUAUUACUUGAGAAAGAAGUUUUUUUGGCUUCGGGUAAAGGUGUUGGUGCAGAAAAUGUCAAUCCUCUGGGAGCAAUUGCUGGAAAAUGCAAUGUCAUAUGCAUUUCAAAGGACAGUAGAAAUCGUCAACCUUCAGCACAGGAACUUCACAUGGCUGACUACGUAUUUUAUCGUACUUUUGAUGUUGAACACUGCACUAUAUCAGAUAGGAUAGAUGAUAAAGUCGCUGGGCUCGAAGUUAACUUUGUAUUUAAUAAGAGAGAUAGUGGAACGAUCAGUGAUACUCCCAAACUUGAUUUUGACAAGAAAGAGGAGGCCCUAGCAUUCAAAACACCUCAGCUUUCGGGGCAAGACUUGCCUGCAGAGUUCAGAACUGGAGCAAAAGAUGAAAGUGUACAUCAUCUGGUGGAAAAAAUAAGUGAAGAUGAGAAGGACUCACUGGUCGGAUUGAAAUUUUCACCUAGAGGCAAACCUGCUUCUGGUUUUGCCAUGGAUUCUGGCGAUGUGGAUACAGCCAGUGUUCAACAGGGCUCUAUUUCAGUAGAGAAAGCCACGAGGUAUAGAAUUAAUUCUGAUCAGGAUAAAACUAAAAUGAGUAAAGUUGUUAUGGAUCAUGUUCGGGUUCAAGAUGAAGUAAAAUAUGCAAAAGAGUCUAGUGCUUUGGAGAACAAGAUGUCUAAGAAACUAAAAACUGAAUGUUCUAUCGAAUUUUCUAAGAUCAGAAAUUUGAAUAGUGAUCAGAAGUUAACUAUUCAUGAGAAUAAUGAUACUUCCCUUGUAAGGAAAGCAAAACCUAGAGAGGAUUUCUCGGCCUUGGAGAAGGGUGUAAAAUCUGAAGAUGCUGGUACUUUGGAUGAUAGGCCUUCUAAGAAAGCUAGGGUUGAUGGUUGCCUCAAGUUAUUUGAGGCCCAGGACAAUAAUGAUGUCAAGAGAUCGAGCAUCAAAACUAAUGUGGAUGAUGCAAUGGACUUGGGAGCCACUCUUACCUCUAAAGUGAUAACAAAACCAAGUGUUACUUCUUGUGGGCCUAAUAAGGACCCUAAGCCGAAGACUAGUGAAAAGAUCACAAAGCUUUCCAAUGGCAAGUUGCCUAAUGUAUCUCAAGGCUCUCCUUCUAAGAACAGACGGAUUGAAGGCGAAGUCACUCGAAGACCUGAGGAUAGAGAGAUUGAAGGUGAAGUCACUCAAAGACCAGAUGAUGAGAGAAGCAGAUGGUUUAGGGAACGUCCUUGGGAUGAAAGAAUGAAGAAAGCAUAUAACCUAGGAACUCUUGUCCACCUCUUGAAUUUGGAUCCAGAAUAUACAUCACGAGACGUGGAAGAUAUUAUUUGGCAAGCUUUUAAGGAAUAUUGCUCUGCAAAAAUGGUACAACGCACUGGAAUUUCUAGUCCGCACUCUGGUGAAGCUUUUAUCAUUUUGAGAACAAAUGGAGCCGCAAACAAAAUUGUCAAAGAAUUGGAUGAAGGGUGCUUGAUGUUAUCAAAUGGGAGGCCUCUUGUUGGUGCACCUCCUCCACCUCAAUUAAGAGAGGAUCCCGCAUUUUUUGGUCAUCUCUUCAUUGAUAGAGUUAGAUUCCAAAUGCAAAGGGAGAUGAGAGAUGCUGUAUCUACUUCACAUUUUUCUCAGCCCAACACAAUCGAGUAUGAAAUGGCUAUGGAAUGGCGUUUACUACAGUCUAGAUCUGAUCGUUGGUGGAAGCAGCUGUAUGAGGAACAAGGGGAGCAGCUGAGGAUGGUCAAGGGUAAACUUAGAAGACGUUGAAGUGAGCACCGCACUGUAAGAACUAUGAUUUUUUGUUUCAUUCUACACCUUUUCUAUUUUCAAUUGCCUCCUGAAGUGAAGGUUGUCUUUAUGAUUUUGACAAGAGAAGAAAUGAUGUCCCGAAAGGACAUGGGAACGAGCGGAUAGUUGGUUGGAAAGGAAGAGACAAAUUUUUGUUGUGAAAAUUAUAUUCCAAAAUCUAAAGCAUGUGGCUGUCCUGUGGAAUUGGAUUUUUGUGAAGUUGAUGGUCUCCAAUUAUUAAGAAUCUCUUUUGUACAUUUACAGCUUUUAGUACAUUGAUUGAUAAUCCAGAGUAUCUUCCUAUCCCAUUCAAAUACCAAAUUUAGUUUUGAUUUUUUCCAA